rnacentral:lncRNA from 1 species
UGGUUUAUUAAUUUAUAAGGUGAAUAAAGUGGACAAGAAAUCAAGUUCAAGGGAGUCGAAUUGAGAACUCUCUCUCCUCUCAAAUUUGUAAGAGGAAAUAUUGACGCGAGUAAAUGUUCUCCCCUCCCCCAACCUUGAAAACUCCUUGGUAAUUACACCACCUGGCCUCCAGGGGGCUCAUGCUGUUUACUGCCCCUAAAGAAGCCCGCGAAGAAGGUCCAGUCUAUCCCGUGGAAACAACUUUCUGCUCUGCUCAUAGCCUAGCACCCCAUAAAGGCACUCGCUGAACUUGCUCGCUUCUAACGAAGCUGCUGACUUCAACCCUUUCUCUCCACACUAUGUUUAACCUACUCACCACCAGGUUCUGCACACACCCACGCUGCCCAGCUCCUCAUUCGUUGUAGCAUUUGACACAGGCGGCGCUCAGCUCUUGGGAAUGUCUGCUUUGUGGCCCCCAUACCAUAUUAUCAUCUCCAUCUAUUUAGCGUUCUCAUUUUCCUCUUAUCACCUCCCCACAUCACUCCACCAAGUUCAUCUUUCCUAAUCUAUCUUCGCCAGCCAUUCUGCUCACUCAUAACCUGGCCUUCUUCAAUGUCCUUUCUCAGCUGACUGGUCCACGCAUGUGGGUCAAACUAGCACCGGCAAGUGUAUGUAGGACUCCCGCUUUCCUUAGCCGAUUACUGCCAAUGCCCAUUGACUUCCAUGUAUGUACCCGGAGGAUCUUCUGGCCGCAGUUGGCUGCAGUUGGAGCUUGUCGUUUCCGGUGGCUGUAAGUAGCAUCUGGUAGCACUUCAUCCCACAAUAUAGAAACAAUGUAGCAGGCAACACAGAGGAAGCUGGCUUAGACUGAAGAAAGUUGAAGCAAACUGAGGACAGAAAAGCUCUGUGGCUACUUGUAAGUGACCUACCUUGUAAGGAAACAGAACAAUAGGAAAGUGGUGGAUAACAGGUAUUUAUGAAUGAGAAUGGCCCCCCAUAGGCUGAUAUGUUUGAAUACUUGGUCCUCAGUUGAACUGUUUGGAGAGAAUUAGAGGUGAGGCCUUAUUGAAGGAUGUAUGUCACUGGGGUGGGCCAUGAGGCUUCAAAAGCCUGAUACCAUUCCAAGUAUCUGUCUCUAACUCUGAUUGUGUCUGAGCUCUCAGCUGUCUCUGCUGCCAUGCCUUUUUGAUGCUGUCAUGGACUCUAACCCUUAGAAACCAACCGUAAGUCCAGUUAAAGGCUUUCCUUGGUCAUGAUAUUCUGUCACAUUAGUAGAAAAGCUACUGUGGUGGUUUGAAUACGCUUGGCCCACAGGAAGUGGUACUCUAAGGAGGUGCGGCCUUGUUGGAGGAGUGCUUCACUGUAGAGGUUCCCUUUGAAGCUCUGACCAGUGUGGAAGAGUCAGUGUGGCUACAGUCAGAUUAAGAUGUAGAACUCUCAGCUCCUUCUCCAGCGUCAUGUCUGCCUGCAUUCUGCCUUCUUCCUGCCAUGAUGACAAUGGACUAAACCUAUGAGACUGUAAGCCAGCCCCA